rnacentral:rRNA from 1 species
CCUACGGGAGGCAGCAGUGAGGAAUAUUGGUCAAUGGACGAGAGUCUGAACCAGCCAAGUAGCGUGAAGGAUGAAGGUGCCAAGCAUUGUAAACUUCUUUUGUCAAGGGACAAAAUCAGGCUCGAGAGCCUGACCGAGGGUACUUGAAGAACAAGCAUCGGCUAACUCCGUGCCAGCAGCCGCGGUAAUACGGAGGAUGCGAGCGUUAUCCGGAUUUAUUGGGUUUAAAGGGUGCGUAGGCGGGCUGUUAAGUCAGCGGUAAAAGCCCGGGGCUCAACCCCGGCGAGCCGUUGAAACUGGCUGUCUUGAGAUGGCGAGAGGUAUGCGGAAUGCGCAGUGUAGCGGUGAAAUGCUUAGAUAUUGCGCAGAACUCCGAUUGCGAAGGCAGCAUACCGGCGGCGAUCUGACGCUGAGGCACGAAAGCGUGGGUAUCGAACAGGAUUAGAUACCCGGGUAGUC